UAGUCAUAUGCUUGUCUUAAAGAUUAAGCCAUGCAUGUCUAAGUAUAAGCACUUGUACGGCGAAACUGCGAAUGGCUCAUUAAAUCAGUUAUAGUUUAUUUGAUAGUACUUUUACUACUUGGAUAACCGUGGUAAAUCUAGAGCUAAUACAUGCGCACAGUCCGGACUUCGGAAGGGAUGUAUUAUUUAGAUUAAGGCCAAUGCAGUUUCUCUUCGGGGAGGCUGGACAUAUGGUGAUUCAUGAUAACUUUGCGAAUCGCAUGACCUUGUGUCGGCGAUGUUUCAUUCAAAUUUCUGCCCUAUCAACUUUCGAUGGUAGUAUAGAGGACUACCAUGGUGUUAACGGGUAACGGAGGAUCAGGGUUUGAUUCCGGAGAAGGAGCCUGAGAAACGGCUACUACUUCCAAGGAAGGCAGCAGGCGCGCAAAUUACCCAAUCCCGACACGGGGAGGUAGUGACAAAAAAUAACAAUACCGGUGUAUAUAACACUGGUAAUUGGAAUGAGUACAAUCUAAACCCCUUAACGAGUAUCAAUU
rnacentral:rRNA from 1 species